rnacentral:rRNA from 1 species
UACGUAGGGUGCAAGCGUUACUCGGAAUUACUGGGCGUAAAGCGUGCGUAGGUGGUGAGUUAAGUCUGUCGUGAAAGCCCCGGGCUCAACCUGGGAAUGGCGAUGGAUACUGGCUCGCUAGAGUGCGGUAGAGGAGAGUGGAAUUCCCGGUGUAGCAGUGAAAUGCGUAGAGAUCGGGAGGAACAUCAGUUGCGAAGGCGGCUCUCUGGACCAGCACUGACACUGAGGCACGAAAGCGUGGGGAGCAAACAGG